rnacentral:tRNA from 1 species
GAGGAUAUAGCUCAAGUGGUAGAGUGCAUGCUUAGCAAUCACAAGAUCCUGGGUUCAAUCCCCAGUACCACCU